rnacentral:snoRNA from 2 species
CCCUUCUCAGAGUUGCACCUGGAGAAUUUCCAGUACUCUACCAGUCUUGACUACGGGAAGGAGAGUCAAGCAGCGGCCUGCCCAUUCCAUUCCUAGCUUGGCCAGUGGCUAGUGAAUGGAAGGCAAUCUGCUACAAGU